AUACGUAGGGGGCAAGCGUUGUCCGGAAUCACUGGGCGUAAAGCGCAUGUAGGCGGGAUAUUAAGUCAGGUGUGAAAACUAUGGGCUCAACCUGUAGAUUGCAUCUGAAACUGGUAUUCUUGAGUAUUGGAGAGGAAAGUGGAAUUCCUAGUGUAGCGGUGAAAUGCGUAGAUAUUAGGAGGAACACCAGUGGCGAAGGCGACUUUCUGGCCAAAAACUGACGCUGAGAUGCGAAAGCGUGGGGAGCAAACAGGAUUAGAUACCCUGGUAGUCCACGCCGUAAACGAUGGGUACUAGGUGUUGGGUGUCAAAGCUCAGUGCCGCAGUUAACACAAUAAGUACCCCGCCUGGGGAGUACGGUCGCAAGACUGAAACUCAAAUGAAUUGACGGGG
rnacentral:rRNA from 1 species